CGCAGCCGCGGUAAUUCCAGCUCCAAUAGCGUAUAUUAAAGUUGCUGCAGUUAAAAAGCUCGUAGUUGAAUUUCGGGACCAUCAUGUCGGUCGUGCCUCGGUACGUACUGGCAUUGUUGGUUUCUCCCUUCUGACGAACCAUGAUGUCAUUUAUUUGGUGUUGUGGGGAAUCAGGACUGUUACUUUGAAAAAAUUAGAGUGUUUAAAGCAGGCUCACGCUUGAAUACAUUAGCAUGGAAUAAUGAAAUAGGACGUUUGAUUCUAUUUUGUUGGUUUCUAGGAUUGACGUAAUGAUUAAUAGGGAUAGUUGGGGGCAUUAGUAUUCAAUUGUCAGAGGUGAAAUUCUUGGAUUUAUUGAAGACUAACUACUGCGAAAGCAUUUGCCAAGGAUGUUUUCAUUAAUCAAGAACGAAAGUUAGGGGAUCGAAGACGAUCAGAUACCGUCGUAGUCUUAACCAUAAACUAUGCCGACUAGGGAUCGGAUGAUGUUAAUUUUUUAAUGACUCAUUCGGCGCCUUACG
rnacentral:rRNA from 1 species